AAGCCAUCAAAUGAAGCAAAGGAGGUUCGCUUCUUCCUGUAAUAUCUAUGGUGGUUUAGACUUUUAAUAAAUUUCCUAGUAACUGGUUAGGAACACGCUUUCCAGUAAAAUUUAUAUCAAUGGUGUAGAGUUUUCGUUACGACGAUAUGUAUAAACGACUAGAUACCAAAGAAGGAGAGUUGGAUAUCUAUAAACUAUCUAGAGCAAGGGAAAAGAAGACAAGGGACCUAAACCAAGUGAGGUGCAUCAAGGAUGAGGAUGGAAAUGUUCUUGCUACAGAGAACGCGGUUAAAGACAGAUGGAGAGGUUAUUUUCAUAAUCUUUUCAAUGAAGGACAUGAAAUGAGUGCUUCUUUAGGGGAGUUGAGUAACUCAGAAGAGUGUAGAAACUACUCUUUUUAUCGUCGAAUCCGGAAGGAAGAAGUGGUUGUAGCUUUGAAGAAGAUGAAGCAUAAAAAAGCAAUAGGCCCAGACGAUAUACCAAUCGAAGUGUGGAAACUUUUGGGAGAGACAGGUAUAACAUGGCUCACUGACCUUUUCAAUAGGAUUUUGAAAACGAAGAAGAUGCCAAAUGAGUGGCGAAUGAGCACUUUGGUGCCUAUCUACAAGAAUAAGGGCGACGUACAAAAUUGCAUGAACUAUAGGGGUAUUAAGCUAAUGAGUCAUACAAUGAAGCUCUGGGAGAGAGUCAUUGAGCAUAGAUUGAGGCAAGAGACACGGGUUUCGGACAACCAAUUCGGGUUCAUGCCAGGGCGCUCAACCAUGGAGGCAAUCUAUCUCUUACGAAGAUUGAUGGAAAGAUAUAGAGAUGGGAAAAAGGAUUUACACAUGGUCUUUAUAGAUUUGGAAAAAGCGUAUGAUAGGGUCCCAAGAGACAUUCUUUGGAGGAUUUUAGAGAAGAAAGGAGUACGAGUAGCAUAUAUCCAAGCUAUAAAGGAUAUGUAUGAAGGAGCAAAGACUGCCGUAAGAACUCAUGAAGGACAAACCGAAAGCUUUCCCAUAACUGUAGGAUUACAUCAAGGCUCAUCCUUAAGUCCUUACCUUUUUGCGUUGGUAAUGGAUGAGUUAACACGACAUAUUCAAGAUGAUAUUCCUUGGUGUAUGCUUUUCGCAGACGAUAUAGUGUUGAUAGAUGAAACUCAGGAAGGGGUAAAUGCAAAGCUCAACCUUUGGAGAGAAGUGUUGGAAUCUAAAGGUCUUCGCCUAAGCCGAUCAAAGACAGAAUAUAUGGAGUGCAAGUUCAGUGCAAAUGGAGGCCAAAACGAGUUAGGGGUGAGGAUCGGAGAUCAAGAAAAUACCAAAGAGCGACCGUUUUCGUUACCUAGGAUCUAUCUUGCAAAAGAACGGAGAAUUAGAUGGAGAUCUCAACCAUAGAAUACAAGCUGGAUGGAUGAAGUGGAAGAGUGCAUCCGGCGUGUUGUGUGACCGCCGUAUGCCACUGAAGCUCAAGGAAAAAUUUUAUAGGACGGCAAUAAGGCCGGCGAUGCUGUAUGGCACAGAAUGUUGGGCGGUGAAACAUCAACACGUACACAAAAUGGGUGUAGCGGAGAUGAGGAUGCUUCGUUGGAUGUGUGGGCACACGAGAAAGGAUAAGAUUAGGAAUGAGGAUAUCCGGGGUAAAGUAGGAGUAGCCGAAAUUGAAGGAAAGAUGAGAAAAAAUCGGUUACGGUGGUUUGGACAUGUGCAAAGAAGGCCUACUGACGUUCCGAUUAGAAGAUGCGACUAUGGGACAGAGGUUCAGGGCCGAAGGGGUAGAGGAAGACCUAGGAAAACUUUGGAAGAGACUCUAAGAAAAGACUUAGAGUACUUAGAUCUAACGAAGGACAUGACACAGGAUCGAGCACAAUGGCGUUCUAAGAUUUAUAUAGCCGAUCCCACUCAGUGACUUGGAUUUUCCAAGUCUCCAACCGAGAAGUUUUCCUCACUCGGGAAAUUAAGGGAACACUACCCAACCUACAUGCUCCACUCAGAAAGCUUCAACAUACAAGCUUUAACAAAAGAAAAUUCAAAGAACUUAGCGAAGAAGGCUUUGGUGUAUUUAACACAAUACGUUGAAAUGAAGGAAAGCUUAUUUAUUGAUAUCCCCGAUAAGCUACAAAUAUGUACAUAUACAUGAGUCAAAAUAAGCACACAAGAGGGAGCCUUCACAAAGGUUGCUUAGGAGAAGUCUCAGCAGUCGGUAGAGCCCCAGAAAGAGAAGGCACCGGAGGGGGAUCAUUUGGAGCCUCAGUACUGGACAGAACCUUAGAAGGAGGAGGCAUCAGAGGUUGAUCAUUUGGAGCUUCAUUACGCGGUACAGCCCCAGAAGACGAAGGCAAUAAAUGCCUUUGGAACAAACCCACAAAUCUCUGAUGAUCAAGUAAAACCUGACCAUCAGUUUCCUUCAUCUGGUCAAGCUUCCUCUUCAUGUUUGUAGCAUAGUCAUGUGCGAGCCGGUGCAACUGUUUAUUCUCAUGCUUGAGCCCUCUAAUCUCCUGUUUGAGACUCAUCACUUCAGCCGCCAAUGAUUCAACUUGGCGGGUUCGAGCAAAUAGGCGUUGGGCCAUAUUAGACACAGAACCUGCACACUGAACACUGAGAGCCAGCGAAUCCUUAACAGCUAACUCAUCAGACCGUUUGGAAAGUAGUCUGUUAUCUUUGGGAGUGAGAAGGUUCCUGGCCACCACCGCAGCGGUCAUAUCAUUCUUCAUCACGGAAUCCCAACGGUAAGAGGACCAGUAGGGGAGACGAAGGAUGGGCGCCAUAUGUUGUCUGGAGAAGGCGGGGCUGCCUAUUCAACAAGGUUCAAGUCAAAACGACGGUCGGAGGGGCCAGACAUUUUCAAAGGUGUUGAAGAGAGAAGAGGUCGGACAAAUCAAGAUCUUAGAAGUGCAAGAAUGAAGCUUCUACUGGUGGAGAUUCAAGUGUGCUUUGGAACUUAAUGCCAGCCCCUAUAAAAAUCUGCACUCGACGAAGCUUCAGAAAUCGAAGAGGCGCCUGCUCAGAAAUCGAAGAGGCGUUUGCUUUCUCAAAAGCUGGGCUGCUUAGAGAUCACGAGGGUUGAUCUCAGAAAUCGAAGAGGCGUUUGCUUUCUCAAAAGUUGGGCUGCUCAAAGACCACGAAGGCCGAUCUCAAAAAUCGAAGAGGCGCUCGCUUUCUCAAAAGCUGGGCUCCCCAGAGACCACGAGGGCCGAUCUCAGAAAUCGAAGAGGCACCUACUUUUCCAGCCUUUUCCAGCCUUGUCAGCACCUGUCACACGCACACUCAGUUUUGCGGAAAUUAUGGGCAUUCUGUGAAAGACUUCUGGGGAAGUAGAAAACACAUGAAUCUUACUGUUCAAUCACCCACUUCUCACACGCAACAAUAGCUCAUGGGUACCACAGAUAACUUUGCCAAAGUUCUCUGCCAAAGUUGAGCACGUGAAGCUUGCAGCUCCCACUACAUCGCUUUGACCAAGAAGGGUAAAAGAAUAGCAAAGAAACAGCACUAACAAAGUUUAGACCCAUAAAUUUUGAAGGUCUAGCUACCAUAUUAUUACCCACAAGGGUAAAGGAACAGUACCACUGCUGGAUAAUUGGAAAGUCCCUGUGUGUCAACCUCUGUGCUUCGUGGCAAGGUAGACUAGCAAACAUGCCCAACCUUUACUCACAUUCGAGAAAACACUCCCAAUAAGAUUGCUUGCUCCAAAAUCGAAGAGGCACCGUCCUCCGAAUCUCGAGAGCCAGACUCCCAACAUGACUACUUUCUUAAAAAUCGAAGAGAGGGUAAAGGAACAGUACCAUUGCUGGAUAAUUGGAAAGUCCCUGUGUGUCAACCUCUGUGCUUCGUGGCAAGGUAGACUAGCAAACAUGCCAAACCUUUACUCACAUUCGAGAAAAACACUCCCAACAAGAUUGCUUGCUCCAAAAUCGAAGAGGCACCGCCCUCCGAAUCUCCGAGAGCCAGACUCCCCCAACAUGAUUACUUUCUCAAAAUCGUAGAGACACUGCUCCCCGAAUCUCGAGAGCCAGACCCCCAGCAUGAUUGCUUUCUCAAAAAUCGAUGAGGCAUCGUUCUCCGAAUCAAUCGAAGAGGCGCUCGCUUUCUCAAAAGCUGGGCUGCUCAGAGACCACGAGGGCCGAUCUCAGAAAUCGAAGAGGCACCUACUUUUCUAGCCUUGUCAGCACCUGUCACACGCACACUCAGCUUUGCAGAAAAUUAUGGGCAUUCUGUCGAAGACUUCUGGUGAAGUAGAAAGCACAUGAAUCUUACUGUUCAAUCACCCACUUCCCACACGCAACAAUAGCUCAUGGGUACCACAAAUAACUUUGCCAAAGUUCUCUGCCAAAGUUGAGCACGUGAAGCUUGCAGCUCCCACUACAUCGCUCUGACCAAGAAAGGUAAAAGAAUAGCAAAGAAACAGCACUAACAAAAGUUUAGACACAUAAAUUUUGAAGGUCUAGCUACCAUAUUAUUACCCACAACUGUAAAGGAACAGUACCACUGCUGGAUAAUUGGAAAGUCCCUGUGUGUCAACCUCUGUGCUUCGUGGCAAGGUAGACUAGCAAAACAUGCCCAACCUUUACUCACAUUCGAGAAAAACACUCCCAAUAAGAUUGCUUGCUCCAAAAUCGAAGAGGCACCGUCCUCCGAAUCUCGAGAGCCAGACUCCCAACAUGACUACUUUCUCAAAAUCGAAGAGAGGGUAAAAGGAACAGUACCAUUGCUGGAUAAUUGGAAAGUCCCUGUGUGUCAACCUUUGUGCUUCGUGGCAAGGUAGACUAGCAAACAUGCCCAACCUUUACUCACAUUCGAGACAACACUCCCAACAAGAUUGCUUGCUCCAAAAUCGAAGAGGCACCGCCCUCCGAAUCUCGAGAGCCAGACUCCCAACAUGAUUACUUCCUCAAAAAUCGAAGACACUGCUCUCCGAAUCUCGAGAGUCAUACCCCCAGCAUGAUUGCUUUCUCAAAAAUCGAAGAGGCAUCGUUCUCCGAAUCUCGAGAGCCAGAUACCACAGACCACUUUUUCAAAGUGCUCUGACAGAGUUAAAACAUGUGAAACUGGCAGCUCCCACUACCGUGCUAUGACCAAGCAGGGUAAAGGAAUAGCAUUACUACUUGUUGUUAGGGAGACUCCUAUAUAUGUCGACCUCCAUCCCCAACGGACAGGCAGACCUGCAAAAAUGCUCAACCCUUCAUCAUAUCUGAGAGGGCACUCCCAACGAAGCCUUUCGAAAUAUUCAGCUUUCUUUCCCCCCGAUAAUACCUCUGCAAACAAGCUAUACUAGAGUAAGAAUAUCUCAUAUCAUCAGGGUUAAAAGCAAGAGUAUCCCAUAUCAUGCGUUUUCCCUGUCUUUUCUUUUGGCCUUGUUUUUACCUGCAAGACAAGGAGAAAGAGAGCAAUCAGUCAGCACUUGGAAUCAAGCUUCCAGCCAGGAACUGACUGCCUGGAACCCCUUACCUGAUUACUUACCUGGCAUUGCUCUCGAGUACUCAUCUUCAACAUCUUAUGUUUCCAGGGAAGAUUCCGCAUCUGCUUGAGGAACAGAUAGGGCAAGUGCGAAGGAUACAAGGAAGCAUGUGGAGACAAGCGUAACAGCACACGUGCCGAUACAUUCAUUACUCUGUCAAAAGCAAAAGUAUCCCAUAUCAGCAGGGUGGAACGUACUCUAGAUUUGAUGGACUUGUUUUGACCCUCAAAUUCUUCAGUCGGCCUUAUACUCUGGAGGAAACCAGAAAACCCUCCAGCUCAGUUCAAGAAUAAGCCUGUGGAAAGUUACUUCUUCAAAAGCAAAAGUAUAUCUCAUAUCAUCUCUUCUCAUUUUUCUUCUCUUUUAUCCUUCAUGCUGCUGCAAGAUGGGGAGAAGGUGAACAAUCAGUCGGAGCUCUGAUUGCUUACCUUGUCUGUCACCCUCUUUCAGCAGACCCCCUAGCUCGGCGACUUGGGGACUCCUACUACAUGGUUUGUAUCGCGCUUGACCAAGCCUGAAACUACAAGUAAGCUUCAAGUGAAAUUGAUACAUUACCUUGUGCAUCUCCACCAGUUAAAGAUACCACCCCUGGAUGGAGGAAGAGUAACUUCCAGAGAAGAUGCCACAUCUACCUAUGAGACAGAUAAGGCAAGUCAAGACGACACCACACUUCGAUACUUAGAAGUUUCGUGAUUACGAGAUCAUUCUCCCACAAUAUUUCCUAAUGUCAUUUGUACUAAAUCAUUCACUUGUACUCACUAAAUGAGAGCUUGAACCUAUGUACUUGUGUAAACCCUUCACAAUUAAUGAGAACUCUUCUAUUCCGUGGACGUAGCCAAUCUGGGUGAACCACGUACAUCUUGUGUUUGCUUUCCUAUAUCUCUAUCCAUUUAUAUACUUAUCCACACUAAUGACCGGAGCAAUCUAGCGAAGCUCACAAAAAGCGAUCGUUUUUCGCUACCUAGGAUCUAUCUUGCAAGAGAACGGAGAAUUAGAUGGAGAUCUCAACCAUAGAAUACGAGCUGGAUGGAAAGAGUGCAUCCGGCGUGUUUGUGUGACCGUCGUAGGCCACUGAAGCUCAAGGGAAAAUUUUAUAGGACGGCAAUAAGGCUAGCGAUGUUGUAUGGCACAGAAUGUUGGGUGGUGAAGCAUCAACACGUACACAAAAUGGGUGUAGCGGAGAUGAGGAUGCUUCGUGGGAUGUGUGGGCACACGAGAAAGGAUAAGAUUGGGAAUGAGGAUAUCCGAGGUAAAGUAGGAGUAGCCGAAAUUGUAGGAAAUAUGAGAGAAAAUCGGCUCCGGUGAUUUUGAACAUGUGCAAAGAAGGCCGACUGACGCUCCGGUUCGAAGAUGUGACUACGGGACAGAGGUUCAGGGCCGAAGGGGUAGAGGAAGACCUAGGACAACUUUGGAAGAGACUCUAAGAAAAGACUUAGAGUACUUGGAUCUAACGGAGGACAUGACACAAAACCGAGCGCAAUGGCGUUCUAGGAUUCAUAUAGCCGACCCCACUUAGUGGGAAAAGGCUUUGUUGUUGUUGUUGUUGUUGGUGUAGAGUUUUCGUUAUUCUAUUUGAGGCACAAAUGGAAAAAACAAUAUGAUCAGAAAUUAGGACUAUAGUUGUAUUCACUGCUGCGCGUCAAUUGAUUGCUCUUGGAGAAAUUUGCACACCUGUAUAUAUUUCCCAACACACGUUUAAAGAUUUAUUGAGUGGUACGAUACCUGUAUUUGCAGUUUUCACGGUCUUCAUUACUGAUUACAAAUUUUAAUGCCAUAGUAUACCCUUUACAGCUGUCUGCUUGCCCAUCUGUACCUGUUGCAAACUUGUUAUAAUAUGCUCUUCUAAACCUUCCAAUUAUUGCAUUCCCCUGUAUCUUUCAACCUCGUAGACUAAUCUUCUGUUGGAUAUUCGGCCACCGGUAAUAAUCUUGUUUUUCAUUUCAUGUAAUUUCUGCUUAGUUUUAUAGUACUGGCUUGUCGUUCGCAGUGACUUUGAAUGGCAUUCUCUAAGUAGUUUUUAUGCUUAAUGAUUUUC
rnacentral:lncRNA from 1 species